rnacentral:lncRNA from 1 species
ACUUUCUUUCCUCUUAUCAGAUUUAUGGAUUGCAUAGUUCUUUUUCACUUUCUUUUUCAUUAUCAAACUAGGCAAAAUUACGUUACCAAUAGGGCAAGUAACCCCUUGCUUUGUCUUUUUUUUUUUUUUUUAUUUAAUUGCACUACCUUCGAUGUUUUGUUAAAAAUAAAUAAAUAAAUAGUAUUUCUAUAUUUUGACACUCAAGUCCUAUUCAUUUUAAUUUUUUAUACCUAUACCGUUGAGUUGACCAUUAACAAAAUUUUACCCUUACAAAAAAAUAAAUUAAGCAUUUUUUAUAUUUAAAUCAUAAAAAUACUCCUAGUACCUCCUUUUAAUUAAGAUUUGGCUAUUUGACUUUAAAAUACUUUUUACACCUAUUUUUUAAUUAAAAUUUCAAUUACUAAAAUAGUUAUGAAAUAAUUUACUAUUAAGGAUAAGAUAUAUACUUAAUUAAUUAUACUUUUCUUUGAUUCUUAUCCUAAUUUAAAUUCAAAAUUUAUUUUAAGCUAAACAUAAUUUCAUCGUAAAUAAAUAACAUUCAUUCAAAAAGAAAGUGAAAGGUAAAUGUAUAUAAGGCCCAGGUACAUGCUUACAAGCCCAUAAUCAUCCCAGCCGCAGCUACACAUUAAGCGCAGCGUUUUGGUUGUAUUAAAAGUAUGAAAAAAAAACCCACAGUGCCACUCGGAGAAUCGUAGUGGCUUUCAAAGAAAUUUUGUGAGAACAAAAACGCGCGGUGGCAGGGCUGGCGUCCCUAAAUUCGCUUCACCAAGUCCAGUUUCAACAGCUCAGUCGCUUCAUUUCUUCAAUCAAGAACAUGAAUUGGUAUUUUCUCCCUGUUUCUUCAUCUUUCUCUGUUUGCUUCUCGAGAGCUUUUCCUUCUGCUUAGUUAACUUUUUUUUUGUUUGGGAACAAAAUGGUUGACUAAAGAUGCUCGCUCGCAACUGCUCAUGCAAAUGUGGCUUUUUUUUUUUUAAUGAUUUAAUACGAUCAUUUUCUUUCCGUUAUUGUUCUCUUUUUUUAGUGUUUGAAAAAUGUGUGUGUUUGUGUGUGAUUUUCAAAGAUCAGUGGAAGUCUCUAAAGUGAUAUCUUUACAAAGGAUGAAGCAAACGGAGAAACAUUAACCAAAAUGAAUGGCGAUGUGGACGUGUCUUCUGCAUAUAAUGAACAAUCAAUCAAGAAAUAUAAAUACAUCAGCAAAAUAAUGAUGGUAGCAGCAUUACACAUCUAAUUAGCCAUAACGAAGCUGAAUAAUUAGCCAUAAUAAAGCUUAAUUGUUAACAUUAUGAUGAUUAUGUCAAGCAUGUUGUUGGAAAAUAUUAAAUUAAUUCAUUUGCAAAUAUAAUAGCAUGUAAUCUUGAAUUGUGAAUGAAGCCCAUUCUAACAAGCUAAUUUUGUAAAGGAAUAUUAUCAACGAAUUCCAAGGGAUAAUAUUCAAUUUCAGCAAAUAUAUCAUGCAAGGUAUUGAAACAUGCAUGUUAUUAAAGAAUUUCCAAGCAUCUCUCAUUUGAUAAAUCAAUCAUCAUAGCAAUUGGAAAUUGAAUUUUAAUGACAAUAUACUUAAAGCGAUAAAUAAGCCAAACCUUUAUGGGUAAGCAUUCCAUCCAGCCUUGAUUGGCUUCCGUGUUUGAGCCGGCUUAUCAAUUUGUGCAUGAUAAUAUUCUACCUUUGGCUUGGCCAGAUGAAAAAUUGAUAGAGACAAGAAGUUGGCUUUUUGUACCGAUUCCCCACAAAUGGUGCCAAAUGUUGAUGCCCAAAUCUGAUCUAGUCUAUUAGCGACUUAAUAUCAGACUUCUACACCAGCAUUAGAUUUAUUUGGUAGAGAAUCGAUUAGUCAAUCAUCAAGAUGUUAAUAUCAGACUUCUACACCAGCAUUAGAUUUAUUUGGUAGAGAAUCGAUUAGUCAAUCAUCAAGAUGUCCUGUGAUAAGGAGCUAUGCAGGUCCAAGUGAGCACCUAAACCCAACAGCAAGUAUGAGGAGUAUGCAUGGGCACAUGCAAGAAGCCAUGCAAAUCAUGCAUGAGGCAUGCAUUACGUGAGAGUGUGUCGUUUAAGUGAGAAUAUUAGAGCUGACUUCUUCAAGGAUGCAACAGGUGGUUUACCACGUCAAACCGUUGCUGAUUUGGUGGAGAAUUCUUGUUUAAAGAUGUUUCCUUAAAGAUUGUUAUUUGUUUCGAAUUUAUAGCUAAGUAGUUUAGUUGAUAUUAGCUACUUUAUCUCAUUAGCUUUGUUUAAGCCUUCUUUCACGGUUACAAAGCAAAGUAGUUUGUGAUGUAUGAAACUAUAAAUAAGCUCCAAUAUCUCAAUAAAGGAGAUCAGACUUUUAUCCAAUGCUAUUAGCAAUUGUGGUAGUUCUCACCCUAAGAAGAACAAAUUAUUUACUUGUUAUUUCCUACUAAUUCUGACUGGGACCUAUCAUCUUGCAACCACUAGUGAUUAACCUACGAAUACUUGAAAUCAUAUAAGACGGUCAGAGGCGCCGAAAGUUUUUCCGGCGUGAACCCUCCAACCCGCAAGUCAGUUUCUAGGCCUUUGCCAAAAACUUGUGCCACCACCCAUAUGGCUUAAUAAACAUUGCCUUAAAAACCAAAAGUUUUUUGAGUAAUUUGCAGAAAAAUGAAAUAGAGUGUAAAAGAAAGAAUUUUCCAUGAGAGGAAGAGAGAAAAAGAUGCCCCGCUCCCUUCUUUUCCCCUUUGUUCUCCUCCAUUUUCGGAAGUUAGGGAUGAGAUAAAAGUAAUGCCUCCACUCUCCAUUUUUUCCUCCUUUUUUCUGUUACCAAACAGUAAGAAGGCACAAUCUCGGUGUAUUGAUUCACCAAAAAAGUUGCCCUCAUCAAAAGAUGCCAACCCAAAGAAAACAAAAUCUCAGAAUGUUGACUCAUCAAAAAAGUUAUCCCCACCAAAAGGUGCUAAACCAGAGAAAAUAGCUCAGGCUCGAAAUGAGAAAUCAACUGCCUUCAAAAAGUCUACACAAGAUUUUGGUGAAAAUUGGUGAGUCAGCAUGUGCAGUAUAUUAGAAAGUUUAUACUCUCUCAUAAGGUUUCAUGUUGGAAAUAUUCCAAUUUGGUUGCAAAAUAGGAGUUAGUCGAGGUAUUUGUAAAUGCUUCUUAUACUGAUUUGGAAUUUAUUUUUCCAUUUCACAUUGCAGCACAAACCUUACAUUUGCUUCUGAAAAACGUAGGAGAUUACAUUGGACAGCUGAUGAAGAAGAAAUGCCGAAGGUAUGGAUUCAUGGUCAUUGCUACUGUUUGUUUUCAAUCCAAAUCGAUGUGCUUGUAUUUCCGAAUAAUAUCCUUCGGUUUUGACAUCUACCGCAAAUCAUGAUACUGAUUUCACUUAAUGAAAUAUUUGAACCCGUAUGAAAUUGACAAUUGAUUCAAUUUCAUUUGACGCAUUGUUGAAAUUAUUCUGUCUCUAACGGUUUUCCACCUUUACCUAAUAUUGUUUGAUUUCUUAAAAUCUUUCUUGCAUCUCAAUUCGGUAGCUCAUUUCUAAAAUUUAGAAAUUUUACCUUCACUACUGCUUUACAAUUCAAUUUUAUAUGUAUGUAUAUGUGUGUGUGUCUGUAUGUCUCUGUGUGUGUGCGCGCGCGCGCGAGUGGUGCAUCUCAUAUUGUACAUUGUUUUCAUGUUUUUAAAUGCAAAUAAGAGUAGGAGCUAAACUUUAAAAAUCUGAACUGUUGUUGUGAUUCAGUCCUAAAUAUUCAAGAUGGAUUAGUGAGUUAGAAAGUAUUCAAUAUUUAAUUUGCUCACUUGUUGAUAUCUACUCUUAUAUUGCAGGAAGGAGUGGAAAAAUUUUCAACUGAAGUAAAUAAAAAUCUUCCUUGGAAGCAAGUUUUGGAAUUUGGUUGUCAUGUUUUUGAUCCAACUCGUACACCAUCCGAUCUCAAGGAUAAAUGGAGGAACAUUAUGGCCAAAGAGUCCUCAGCAAUCAGCAGAAGGUAAUUUGGUCAUGUACGACUCAAGAUGCAAAAGGUAAUAUUUUAAAAUCCUUAGAAGUUCAAAUAUAUGCUGUGCUUACAAGUACAUUCAUAAAUACAUCUCAUUCUUUCUCUCAGCUAUCUGUAAACUAUUGCUUCCAAAAUAGUUGGGUUGUCUAGGUUGGUCAAAAGAAACUCUAGGAUGUAAAUUUCUAUAUUACAUUCAGCAAGGUUUAUGUUAUUUAAAUUUUUUUUUUUUUUUGCGUGUUAUUUAGACUGCUUCUGCUGUCACUAUUUCUGUAUGCAGCAGCUUGUUUACUGAAGUGUUCCGUCUACCCUUGGUUGUGGGAUCAAGACCUCAGUUUCCUGCAUAUCAGACUAUUUGUGUGAUUAUGCAAUGCCAUUAGUGUAUUUACCCAAGAUUCUUUUCCAUCACCCGGUUGGAUGGCUUAAUUAAAGGACCGAUGAUACUUGUUUUAAAAUAUUUGAACUAAGCGGGUCAGUUAGCAUGACAAAUAUAAUUCUCUAAAUUGCACCCAUAUAGCCACAUCUUUGUGUUUUAAUACUCACAUAAUGAAGCCUUUUUUAUGAUGUUUAAAGAUUUUUUUUCCCUAUUAUCUCUGAUUAUCAUCAGCUCAUUCUCUCUAAAAAUAAUGUGCAAAUUUCUACUACUGUCGUGGGUAAAUGCUUAGGCAGCGAAUGACCAGCAAUAUUUCGUUUCAUUUUAUAGACAUUCAGCGCUCCUAAAACCAUCAAGGAAAGGAAAAUAAUGUGCAGCAGCAGUUAGAUCUUCUUUCAGUAUUCGUUGAAUUUUUUUCCUGCCAGGCAUAAGGAAUGUAAAUUACUGUCUUGCACAUGGCACAAUUUUGGUGGGUUGAAUAGUCUACCAAAGCGAAGAUUUGAGUUCACAUGGGAUGGGAGCUCAGGAAAAUGAAUUUAACAAAAACAUUUAGGAAAUAAAGUGCAUUUUCUUUUCUUUGACUUGGGUGGUCAAAGUCCGAAUUUUGAUUUUCUUCCUUCUCGGUAUUAUUGACUCUCUAGUAUGUAAGAAAGUUAUCAACCAAAAUGAAGAAAAAGGUAAUUGUAAGUUUAUUAUAUAUAGUGAGGCAUUUCUGCGUGCUGCAUUAUGUCUUUAACUGUAAUCUCUAUAUCAGAGAUCUGAUGUUGGCCAUAAUCAAGUAAAAUUUUAAAGUGAAAGAUUCAUUUCGCUUAUUUGGCACAUAUCUGAUCAUAUUUGUAGUACAGCAGAAUGUUGAGGUGCCACAGAAAUGCCUGUGUCUGUGCUUUGAUUGCACCCUGUAUGAUCCUAUCGAUGAGUUCAUGGCCUCUAUUGAUAGAAGCAAGAAUUCCGGAAUUGGGGGCAAUUCAAGGUGCCAAUCUUUACAGCUUCAUUUUUCAGAUUGUGGUGCAGUACGCUUCCAUGGCCUUUUUUUUUUUUUUUUUCUCUUCUCUUUCACUAUUAAUUUUGUUUUUGUCUUCGGACUUUGAACGACAGGAAGUUUAAUCCGUCAGGGUAUGAUGGAACGUUUAAUCCGGCGGAGCCUCAGGGAGAUUCCUACUACGCAACAAUCCCCUAUGCCAAAUCAUGGGCAUCGCCAUGGGAUAUGCCGGAGAAAUGAAUAUUAUUUAGGUCCUGUUUGAGAUUGAGGUUGGACAGCUGUAACUUAAAAGAGACAGUACUAAAGUGUUUAGUAAACACAUGGUGUUGUAGCUUGCAAGCUAUAUUGAUAUAAUUUUUUUACUUUUAUGAUGUAAAAUCUAUUAUAUCUGUAAUAGUGUUGUAAAAACUAUUGUUUAAAAAUUAUGUUUAUUAUAUAUUAGUAAUUUUUAUUUUAUAGUUACAGUUUUUUUUUCCACAGCAGUUGUGCCUUAAAAACUACAGCAUUUCAAUCCCAAAAAGGCCUAAGACAUGAAGUAUAUGCUUUCCUUUGGAAAUUGUCUUCUUGCUUCUUCACAAUUUCAUUUUGGUUCAAUUAAACAAAUUACUAAUAAAUGUUUGUUACUAGCUAUUAUGCCCCGUCUCCGCCGUCCCCUCGCCAUGCAAGUUCAACCAUUUCAAUUUAUUGUAUCAAUUUUAACAUAUGUAUAAUUAGUAACCUGAUCGCUGGCAACGGAGAUUUAGGUUUCAUAAUCAAUAAAUGCGCUUGGUAAGGACCAAGUAUGUAUGUCAAGAGUUAAACUUUUAGGCAUUCACAUAAAAUAACUCAAAUUCUCCUCCUUAAUUCAUCUUAUUUGAUUGGAAUACAUCGUUUAAACAUUAAAGGCUGAAAAUCAAUAGACGGAUUGCUGGGAAAGUUUGUAAAUUUGGAGUCGGAACUUGAGUAAUUAUUUGCUUUACAGAGGGCUGGCAGUGAUGGAGAAGAAAAUUAAACAGGGGCUGGACUUAACUGUUCCGCAAGAGCUAUAUCUUCUUACCUUUUAUGUAAGGCAGUCGAGCCCUAACAGAUAAUUAAUGUUACAUAGCUGUAUCUGUAAUUCGUAUGAUCUAAAUAAAUUUCUGUUAAUUUAGUCAUCUUUCUCAAACAAGAAGUUUAAUCCAUCGGACUGUAACUGGAAGACUCGUGGAAGUGCUGUAGCAAGCAUUGAAUAUAUAUAUGCAUAUAGCCUUCAGUUCUCUCGAAAGAAAAUUAAUUUAAUUGCUCAAUCUGGGUCCGUUCCAUGGAUUUAUCAGGAUGGGGUUUUAGGCUAGUGGUAUGGAUCCACUUCGAAUCACACUGUCUUUGACAGCUUUUGCUGACUGGCCUAACGGGCGUUUUGGGCUGAAAUGGUUCAAAAAUCUCAAAGUCGUUUCCUGCACGCCUGUAAUGUGAUUAAGACAUAAUGGCAGACAAGCCGAAAUCAUAGACUUUAGGCUCAGUUCGGUAUUAAUUUUUAUGCAAGAGCUUCAAAUUUUCAAAUAAUAUGAAAAAGUAGGUUCUUAUAUUUUCUUCAUCGAAGUCAUUUUAAAUUUGUAUGUUAAAUAAAAAAUUAAAUAAAAUAUUCGAGGAAAGUAAAAAUCAAGUAAAUAAAAUUUACCCCCAAUGGAUUUUAAGUCUGACUAAGCCAUUACAAUGAGCGAACGGAAAAUCCUCCACUUUAUAAAUAUAAUUCAACGCUACAUUGUACUUUGAAUCCUGCGAUUUAGCCUCAACUUUGCAUUUUCAUAGCAUGAAGAUGGCAAAAAGUUUUCCUUCGAAAAGCUCUCUCUCUUUUAGAGAGGCUUGAAUGGAAGUAUUAAGGGGUCGUAAGGACUCAUGUGGUCACUCCCGGUGAGUGGAAAGUAAUCCAAACCAGUAAGCUUUUGGGAUUGGUGAGCUGGUGGAGAAAGUUUCGAAAAGCAAAAGUUAGUGUAGAGCGCUGGGGCACGAGUUAAAGCUAGCGAGCUGACAUAACUCACUCUCUGCUCUAGCUUUAAUUACCAUGGACAUUGAAGAGCUAAUCCGCAAGUGUCAAGCAAUAAAUAUCAAAGAGGAAGACAAAGCCAAAAUAACACUGGAGGUGAAUUUGGAAAAAAAGAAAGAACAAAUGAUGGCAGGCUGCUUAGUGGGUAAAGUAAUGCUCGCAAAGGGAGUAAAUAAAGAGGGUCUUAAGGCUGCGUUACAGCAGGUGUGGAGGACUUUCAAAGAAGUCAAAAUCGAAAGCGUGGGAAACAACAUCUUCAUGUUUAAAUUUGCUGAAGAAGCAUACAAGAAAAGAGUGCUAAAAGGGGGACCGUGGCACUUCGACAGGGCAUUGAUUGUACUCGCUGAGCCAAGGGGGAUUGGGGAAGUCGGAAAACAAUCUUUUACUCAUACAUCCUUUUGGGUGCAUAUUCGUAAUGUUCCUCUAGCAUGUAUGGAUAAAGAUUUUCUCUGGGACCUGGGUGGGAAGAUAGGAUCAGUAGAAGAGGUUCAAACUGAUGAUAAUGGAGAUUGUAUUAGGGAAUAUGCCAGAAUAAGAGUUUCAAUUAAUAUAACACAACCGCUAGAGAGGAUUCUAUUUCUAAAGCAAGAAGGUGAAACUGAUAUCCCAAUGCCAGUGGUCUACGAACGCUUGCCGGAUUUUUGUUAUUGUUGUGGCAUUAUUGGACAUCAAUACAAAGAAUGUGGCAAGUACCAAGACCAACCAAGAGGAGAUCUACCAUAUGGGAGCUGGAUGAACGUGAUUACGGUAGGGGGAUUUACAAAGAGGAAUCAGAACAAGGGAAGGUGGAACUAUGGGGCUGGAAAAUUGGAUGAAAAAUCAGCAAGCUCAGAAAAUCACAGCUUCCAGCAGCAGCAAGGGCAAAACAAAGACAACCCGAUAGGGGCAAACGGGUCGGUACAAAGUGAGAAGGAAAUGGGGCAAACCAUGGAGCAUGCUAAGAAUGAUGUGAUAGGAGGAGUAGCUGAGCAACAAUUAAUGCAAGGAGUGAUACAGUCAGCGGACAAAGAGCAAAAUGACGGCCACAAGCAAGCUGAGAAAAGUGGCAAUGCAACAGCCCCAAGGAAGAUGGGCACACAAGCGGGAAAUGGCAUUCCAAAAGAGAGGGAAAAAAUGCAAAUAAGUCAUGAAAAGGAAGCUGGAAAAAACGAUGGGCCAGAAGUAUCUCAGCUACAGCCCAAUAAGAGGAAGUGGAAGAGAUUAAUUAGAGAGCUAAGUGAAGGGGGGAGGGGGAAAUAGAGGUACAAGCUCGGAAAAGGCCAAGGGGGAAAAAACUCGGGCAAAGCCCAAAGAAAAAAACAUAACUCUCUAGCUCAAACAAGCUCGAGACAAAAAAUCUGGUGCAUGUCUCGUCAACAGUAAGCCUUCCGUUGGGGUGGGAACCGCUGAUGCUGGAAGAGGUGGUAGUAAUGGAAGCAAACAAUAUGGAGAUAUCGGCGGAGGCUGGUGGCCAGCCCCGCCGAAAGCCAUGAAUAUCCUCAGCUGGAAUGUUCGGGGUCUGGGGAAUCCCCGAGCAUUUCAAGCCUUAAGAAAAAUCCUCCAAUUGCAUGGUGCUCAGCUGGUGUUUUUGUGUGAAACAAAGGUAUCAACCAUGCAAAUGAAUGUAAUUGCAAAUAAGCUGAGUUUUGAGAAUUGCCUUACGGUAAACGGUAAUGGAAGAGGAGGCGGAAUAGCAAUGCUCUGGAAGUCAGAUAUUGAGGUGCAAAUCAACUCAUACAGCCAGCACCACAUUGAUGCCGAAACUCAAAUGCCAAAUGGAAAUCGAAUGCGAGUUACAGGAGUGUACGGGAAUCCGAAAAUAAGUCAGAAAAAGCACACUUGGAUGCUCCUUAGGCGGCUGGCAGUUUUAUCUUCUAGUACUUGGUUGUGUUGUGGAGACUUUAAUGAAAUUUUACAUCCGGAUGAGAAGAGGGGCGGCAAUGACAGGAAUGUGAAUGUAAUUAAUGAGUUCAGAGAAGUCUUGCGAGAUUGUGGCUUAAAGGAUGUCGGGUAUUGGGGGUAUGCUUUUACUUGGCAUAAUGGAAGAUAUGGGGAGGGAUUUGUGGAAGAAAGGUUGGACAGAUUUGUUUGCUCUAAAGCUUGGAGUGACAGAUUUGUGGACUAUGCAGCAAGCAACCUGGACACCUGGACUUCGGAUCAUUGUCCCGUGUUGAUGGCUGUUCAAGAGAUAAGGGAGGGUAUGAUCCAAAGGGAUAGACAUUCCUCGCGAAUCCAUUAUGAGGAUAUGUGGAGCUCAUAUGACGUAUGCAAAGAGAUAAUUAAGGAGGAAUGAGGGCUGUAUAGAAAUUGGAGCAGUGAAAAUCCAGCCCAAUCUUUUCGACAAGCAACAAAAGCUUCGAUGGGUAGGCUGUUGAGGUGGAGCAAGAUGGAAUUUAGAAAGCGUGACAGAAAAUUGGAGCAGCUAAAGAAUCAGUUGCAGUAGUUAAAACAAAGAAGGGUGCAAUAUGUAAAUGGUGAGGAAAUUCGGAAGGUGGAGAAGCAAAUCCAAAAUAUUCUCAUGGAUGAAGAAAUCUACUGGAAGCAACGCUCAAGAGCAGAUUGGCUCAAGGAGGGGGACAAAAACACAAAAUUCUUUCACGGUAAAGCGACGGCAAGAAGGAAAAAAAAACAGAAUUUGGGGGAUUGAAGAUAAUUUCGGGAGAUGGAUUGAAAAGCCAAAUGAAGUAGAGCAUGAGUUUUGCAACUAUUUCACCAAUCUUUUUACAUCAACCCAGCCGAGCCAAGAUCAAAUUGCAGCAGCCUUGGAAGGAAUAACUCCGAGAGUUUCAGCCAGCAUGAAUGAGAGUUUGGGGGAACCGUUUACAUCCGAGGAAGUUUUGGAAGCUCCGAGUCAAAUGUGCCCAACAAAGGCUCCGGGGCCGGAUGGUUUGCCAGCCGUGUUUUACCAAAAGCAUUGGCAUACGGUUAAGGAGGGAGUGCUCACCACUUGUCUGCAUAUCCUUAAUUCACAAGGUACCAUAGGCCCUCUAAACCACACUUACAUUACUUUGAUACCAAAAAUCGGAAAGCCUAGGAAAGUGACAGAUUUUAGGCCUAUUAGUUUGUGCAAUGUUAGCUAUAGAAUUGUAGCUAAAACAGUUGCUAAUAGAUUUAAGCAAAUUUUGCACAAAAUCAUCUCUCCGUCGCAAAGUGCCUUCAUCCCCAAUAGGUUGAUCACUGACAAUAUCAUAGUUGGCUAUGAAUGUUUGCACAAGAUUAGGCAUUGUAAAAGCAAGCGAAAUGGAUUAAUUGCAUUAAAGCUUGAUGUUAGUAAAGCUUAUGACAGAUUGGAAUGGAAUUUUUUAGAGCAAACUUUGAAAAAAUUAGCUUCUCGCAGCAAUGGAUUGGCUUGAUUAUGAGGUGCAUUAGUUCGGUUUCAUUUUCAGUGUUAAUAAAUGGUUCAGUGAAAGGCGUAAUUAAACCUCAAAGGGGCUUAAGACAAGGAUGCCCCCUCUCUCCGUUUUUGUUUAUUACAUGUGCAGAGGCUUUUUCAUCUUUGCUGCAGCAAGCUGAGCAACAACGACUUAUUCAUGGGCUAUCUUUUGGAAACAAUUUGAAGAUUUCGCAUCUUCUUUUUGCUGAUGACAACCUGGUCUUCAGCAAAGCCUCCAUGGCCGACUGUCAAAACUUGAAGAUGAUCCUUGAGCGUUACUCCACAGCUUCCGGUCAAAUUUUUAAUUUCGAGAAAUCUUCUCUUUUUCUCAGUGGCAACGUACAGCAAGAUCAAGCUGAGGCAAUUGGGAAUCUCUUUCAGCUCAAUAUUGUGUCGAGACAUGAAAAAUAUCUAGGCUUGCCGUCUAUGAUCGGGAGAAAGAGAAGCAUUUUUUUCAAUGACAUCAAGCUGAAGGUUUCAAAUAAGAUCUCAAGCUGGCAGCAUAAAUUCUUUUCUUGCGGAGGGAAAGAAGUCUUAAUCAAAGCGGCUGUUCAAGCCAUCCCAGCCUACGCAAUGAGCGUUUUUAAAAUUCUAGUGGGUGUUUGUGAUGAUAUUCAACAGAUGGUGGCAAAGUUUUGGUGGGGCUCCAAGAGAGAAGGGAGGAAUAUUCACUGGGCGAAGUGGGAAAAAAUUAGCCAAGCUAAGUGUUUGGGAGGAAUGGGAUUUCGUGACUUCUCAAGCUUUAACCGAGCCCUUCUAGCAAAGCAAGGCUGGAGGAUUCAGCAAUGUCCAGAUUCGCUGGUGGCAAGGGUCCUGCAAGCUAAAUAUUUCCAGUCAAAAAAUUUCUUGGAUGCUAAACUCGGCUCAAACCCCUCAUAUAUUUGGAGAAGCCUUCUGUGGGGAAGGAAAAUUAUUUGCUCGGGCUCUAGGUGGAGAGUUGGCAAUGGUCAGAAAAUUCAUGUUCAUAAGGCUAAUUGGAUCCCACAGCCUUCAACUUUCCAGCCAGUGGUUAAGCCAUCUUUGCCCCCUGAUGCUAUGGUCUCGGAAUUAAUCACUGAGGCAAACUGCUGGGACGAGAAGAGGGUUUAUGAGCAUUUUGACAAAAUGGAUGCUGAUUUAAUUACUAAGAUUCCCCUGCCUCGAAGACCAAGGGAGGAUGAGCUGAUUUGGCAUUAUGGAAAAAAUGGCCAGUUCUCGGUUAGAAGUGGAUACCAGACAGCUCUCCAAAUAACAUUUCCAGCCAUGCCUUCAAGCUCAGUGGCUUCCAAAAAUGAGUGGAAUAUUAUUUGGUCCCUUGCUUUGCCUCAAAAGAUCAGAAUUUUUGCCUGAAGAGCAGCCAAAAACCAACUCCCCUCAGCCGAGAAUCUGUGGAGGAAAAAAUAAUCCAGGAACCUACUUGCCAAAUCUGUAAAAUGGGAACAGAAAAUGUCUUUCAUGCUCUAGUGGCCUGCAAAUCGGCUGAGAAGGUGUGGAAGCUAAUCCAUUUUGAUGAUGACAUUCAUGCAGCUCACAGUCAAGACAUUCUAAGCAUGCUGCAUGCUAUGAAAAGAAUGAGAAGCAGAGAUGACCUGGAGCUGUUGGUAACAAUUUUCUGGGUUAAAUGGAAUGCUAGAAAUCAGUUGAUUUUCAAAGGAAAAAGGGAGAACCCCCAGAUCAUGGUAGCUAAAGCUGAAGCUUUGAUUGCCGCUUAUAAGAGUGUGCAUUCUCCAGCUGAGGCCUACAGCGAAACAGAGCAGAUGGUACCUCCCCAGACAUGGAAUCCCCCUCAAGAUGGCUUUAUAAAAGUAAACACUGAUGCAGCUAUCAGCUUUGAAAAGAACAUUGUAGGGCUGGGGGCAGUAAUCAGAGAUGUUUUGGGGGAUGUUACAGCAGCUGCUAUUAAGGUUUCUAAGUUUCAUGGAGAUGUUUCUUAUGCGGAAGCAGAAGCCAUGGAAUGGGGUAUGUUAGUGGCGAGAGAUGCCAAAAUGAAAGCUGUCAUCAUGGAAUCAAAUUCUCAAGGUGUGGUCAAUUUAGUUAACAACAAGCAGGGCAGCAGAUCCGAGAUCUAUUGGGUUGUGUCAGAAAUUCAGAAACUAGCGGAAAACUUCGAACGUGUUAGCAUUAAGUACACGCCUAGAUCUUGUAAUGUUAUUGCCCACUCUUUAACUAAGUUAGCUUUAGAGAAGUGCGAGACUGUUGUGUGGAAGGGUUCAUACCCUUCACAAGUGAUGUAUCUCUUUUCUUCUUUGUUUUAAUGGAAAUCUCUUUUCAAAAAAAAAAAAAAAUAGCAUGAAGAUGGCUAUUUCUUGUUAAUGCAUUUUCAUAGUACGAAGGUGGCUAUUUCUUGUCAAUUGGGACUUAGAUUUUUUUUUGGGAUCCGCCUAUGUUACAACAAUUACACGGUACCGCAGGUUUUUGUCUUUUAAGGUUUAGCGAAUAUUAAAUUUUACUGAGGUCCUUAUACUCCUUUUGUAUUCAUAAAAUAUUAAGAAAUAAUAUGGUACUUUCUACUUACAUGCACUAUUAAAAUUUUAUUUAGCACCUUAUACUUUUUUUAUUUAGUAUUUUUAUAAGUAUUAAAAUAUCUACUUGUUUACAUCCAAAUUAUAUUAAUCAACGUAUAACACUAAUAUCAAUAAAAGACAACAAUACCCUUAAAUUUAUAAAUUAAAAAUAAAAUUCAGGAUUCUUUUUCUCUUUCUUUUCACCUUCAAUCUUCAUCUCCAUCAUCAUCACUCCUCGCAUUCACAUUCUUCCAUCAUCAUGAUCUUCAACUUCAUCUAACGGAAUAUUAAUGAAAUGACAUUUUUGGCCCCAAAUGUUCUAAAAAUUUAAUGGCAAUCACUUCAAUUUGAUGGGAUCUUCUUCGUUACAAUGUUAUCAAAUCCCUUAGUUUCAAACCCAUUAUUCCAAAUUUCGAUCACAAACUCAUUAGCCUCCAAGCAAAAACCUUUACUAUAACUCAACAACUCCAAUUUUAACCAGCAGCAACGGUAAUCAAGAAUCCCUUCCAAUCUCACAGUCCAACAAUCUGUAGGAGUGAUGAUGGGUGGCCGUUCGUUUCCAUUAGUAUUGACAAAUCCAAAUCAUUAACAAGUUUUGAUUACUGUCGCUCUCUUUUUCAUUUUGGUGGGCUUGUUCUUGUUCUUGUUCUUCAAUGGACAAAUAACUCGUCUCCAAGUAAAGGUCUUGGAUCUUGAACAUUUACUAAUGGAGACAACAAAAUCAUUAUUUGUUGGACAUGAAACUCUACGUUGGAACUCUGAUUAUUCACCUGUGACAAUAACGACGCCAGAGGUGGUGGCUCGGCGUGGAUACGACGGAGCCAUAGCCAAUGCGUGGUCUUGUGGGGUAAUAAUGUUUGUGUUGCUUCCGGGUCUUUAGCAACUUCAGGCAUGGUGGUGGGUCACGAAAGUUGAUGGAGAUGAGACUUAACAAUGGCAUGCUUUUGUUGCUGGCUGUACUAGUUAACUCUAUUUUCUUUAUUUUCUUCGACAUUUGUCAAGAAGGAUAAUUUUGUCCUUUUAUGACUCACAAACAAAUUGUAAAUUAAAAAAAAUGCAAGGUGCUCAAGUAAAUUUGGUAGUAAUUAAAUUAUAAAAGACAAAAAUUGAGGUACGGUAUAACCAUUGUAACAUAGGCGGAUCCUCAUUUUUUAUCGCUUUUCUUUUUCUUUUUUUAAUCUUUUGAAGAUCCUCUGGCAAGUGGCACUAAGAUUAUUGAAUGGCCAAAAUUUUAUUGUUUUUGUUUUACUAUAUCAAUUUCUUAAAUUAGAAAAGUAAAAUAGUAAACUUCCGUAAACAAUCCAAGUCUUCUCUGUCGUUCACUAUUAUUAUUGUUUUCCCCUCCAUAAUCUACUUUCCCUGCUUUUCUACCUUCAUUAUCUUCUCCUUUCGAGAUUUGAACCAACGGCAACCAUGGGCAAGACUUCGACAAAUAUUUAAAACCAAAGCCAUAGGGUAACAAAAGUUAUAAGGAAUUGAAAUAUAAAGCCAUAGGGUAACAUUGUUAAUUUGGUUUUGUAAAACUUUAAUAGAUAAACAAGAAAAAGAGAAAGUACACGUGUUUAACAUACUGAAUGACCAACAAAAACACAAAUAUUGCUUACGUCAGGUUUUAUAUGGCUUGGGAUGUCCAUCAACUAAGCUUAUCCCAUUUUGGAGUAAAACUCAAUAUGAACAUGAAUAUGAAUAUGUACCCUUUAACUAACAAGAAUUAAAUAAAAAUAAUAAUUUAAUUUGAGGUACUUAGUUUUCUUUUGUAGCUCAAAUUCUAUUUUUUUUUUUUUUAAAAAAAAUAAUAGUAACAAAUUAUUUAUUUUAAACAAUGAAUUUCGUUGUGACCAUCAUUGUGAAAGUACAUGAUUAUCAGAAUUUGAACCAAAUCUCUAUAAUUACUAAAUAAUACUCUUAACAUUAAAAUAUAAAUAUUUUUUUAUAUAAAAAAUGACACGACCCGCCCCAACCUACAUGUCUGAUUUGAGGCGAAUCGUGCGGACUAAUAACUAAAACUUGUGGCACAUAUUUAAUUCAUGAAAAUAUGUAUAUAAUAUGGCCUUUCCUAUAAACACAUAACCACAUCUGUGCCUUUUCUGAAACCAUACAUGAAUUCAAACUUGCAUAACUUAUGUCUCAUUGUACAUACUGACAUUACAUGAAUAUUUACAUACAAAAUAUAAGCAACAUAAACGUGCUCAAAAUGCAAGACAUGCAGCAAUGCGUUUCGUGGCCCAACCUCAAUUAACUAGAACUGAUAUGCACGAAAUCAUGUGGAAUCCUGGGAGGAAAGGGGUAAAUAGGAAAAUAGUGAGCUUGCAGCUCAAUAAGUGGUUGUAAUAUUAUAUUAAAAAUAUUAACAGUAAUAAUUAUAAUAAAGUAUGUGUACUAGUGCUUAUACAUAAUAAUGUAACAUAACUCCACAUUGAAUACCGCACAUCAGCAAACAUGGAAUUCAUACAUACAUACAUCACAAACUGCACCAAAUAGUACCCAGGGAAAAUAACUCUCAAUACUCGUCGGGAUCAUCAUCGCACGAGUAGAGCAGGGGGAAAAACCUCUCAAUACCCGGCGGAAUUUAGCUGCAUUGCUCGGAUAGAGUAACCUAACUCUCAAUACACAUGCGCAGAGUCUACGGGGACGGGUACAUAUAUGGUGACUAGCAAUCACAUCUCAUGACUCAAUCAAACAUAUAAUAUGCGUACAUAUAAUCAUAACAUGAUAUUAAACCAUAAUAUCAAAUAUAAAUGCUUCAUGGAAUACAUAAUAGUAAUAAUAGUAUCCACUCACAGAUCAUGUUUCACUCUGUGGUUCGUUGGGGCUCUUGUAGGUUCCUGAAUUCUCGAGUUCCUCCUAAAAUACAGGGUUUGAAAAUUAACUGUUAGAACUGAUAUAAAAACUUAUACGUAUCAUGCAAACUGUAACAUAACUGCUCAAAUUUCAUAAAUCUAUUACUCAUUGUUUCAAUGGAUAUAAUUCUAACUAUCUAAUUUCAAUUCCUGCAACUUAAUUAUUUAUUUUUCUUUUCCUUCACCGUCUGCCUUUCUUUCUUUUCUUCUUUUCUUUUCUUUGUCCUCUCUUUUCUCUUCUCUUUUCUCUCGACUUUCUUCUUUUCCCUCUUUUUUCUUUUCUUUUCUUCUCCUUUCGAAUUGUACUGUUUUGGUUAAAUGGUGAAAAUGAUAAGAACAGCUUCAAAUUUCACUUUAUAUACGCCCACCGACUCAAGCAAGCAGCUCUCCAAUUGUUAAAUAUAUACGCUUCAUGCACGUGUGCUGACCGCUCUAAUGCAUGUACGUGUGUUACAAAAAAAUGCAUUUAAAUUCUUUUUAUUUAACUUUUUUUAUAAGGGGCUUAAUACGCAUUUAAAGAAAAAAAAAUAAUGGCUCUGCGCAUGCCGGUAGCAGCUAUUGCAGAUAGACAUUACUACCUACCCUCCACUUAGUAACGAUUCUUUGUUUUAUUUUUCUAGUUUUUUUUAAUAAAUUUUUCGACGUUUUAUUUUAUUUCUUUCUAAGUAAUCCAAAGCCUUUUUUUUUUUUCUUUUUUUCCUGUUUAGUCUAUAUAUCCACAUUUUACGCAUGCACCUCAAGUUUGAAAACGUACAAUAAUGGUGCUUUUUCUCGAAAGAAAAUUAAUUUAAUUGCUCAAUGUGGCUCCUUUUUCAUCGAUUUAUCAGGAAUCGUUCCCAACUCCCCACCCGAUCCCCAUGAUUGUUUUUAGGUUGUGUGGAGCUAGUGGAAUGGACUCCGAAUAACACUGUCUUUGACUGCCUUUGUUGACCGGCCUGACGUCCAUUGUGUGGUGAAAUGGCUCAGAAAGUCGUAUCAUGCACCCCGUUUAAUUUAAGCCAAUAACGGAGGAAAAGCUGAAAUUAGACUUAUUGUUUAAUACCAUCCGGUGACUUAAUUUUUUCUGUGUAAGUUAUUGGAAUCGGAAGUUUAAAUGAUUUUUCCACAUUGUUGUUUCUCAUAAAAACCUUAUGUACGGUUGAACAGUCAGAUUUACCGAAUAAUAACGUAUAUACACUAAGUUUUACGCUUUUAGUUCAUAGCAGUUAUGAGAAUAUUAGAAUUUGUAACCAGCCUGCUCUAGACUUUUGCAAUAAACUUAUCCGCGGGCACAAAAGGUGAGAUUGGUUUGUCAAUGUACCUGCGAGACGCUCAGACGCGCAAUUGAUCAAUUAUUCGGAUAACUAAUGCAAAAGCCAUAUUCUAAAUUAAGAGCGUUCUAUCUAUUUAUGCUCUGCUUGUAGCCUUUUUACUACUAUCAACGAGUUCAUGGCCCAUGUAUAUAGAAGCAUGAAUUCCUGAACUUUCAGCUAUGCUAUUUAAGGCGCAUAUUGCUUCACUAAGGGCACCAAGCUAGUUCGAACCCUCCUAAUGGCCAUUUCUCCAUUGUCACUAGAAUGUGGAAUAUGGACAAAAAUGCAUAGCUCCCAAUAUUUGUGGGAUUACGGGCCCCCGUGGUAUCUUUUUUCUUUCCAUGGAUUAUUGCAGCAGUUUUCAUGAGUUGUGUAUUUGUGUUUGCCUCUGACAGGAAGUCUAGCUAGACGGAAUGUGAGCGCAUUUACCAAAAGUAUUGAAAGUCCAAGGUCGAGCGAGAGUUGUAGCCAGUGAGCAGACGGCGGAGCAAGUGGGGACUAGUGGGGGAAGCUGCUCCUGCUGGUUCUAAUUUUUUCAGAAAAUCUUCAAUUAAAAUUUUAUUUCUCUAAUAUCAAUUUUUAUUUGUCCUCACUGUCAUCUGGCUAGGCCAUUGCAUGCACUUUGGUCUUUGGGGAGUCGAAAAAUCCCCACUUCUAAAAUAUGAUUCAACAUUAUAUUGUAGUUUAAAUACUGCAGUUUAGCUUCAACUUCGCAUUUUAGUAUGUGCGGUGAUGUCCAUUUCUUGUCACUAUUUACAUAUACAUGCUAGAGUAACAUUUUUUUUAAUAAAUUAUUUCCCCAAAUUCUAUUAAACAUAUUACAAAUAAAUGCUUGUUAGCCAUUAUACAUGCUCCAUUUCGUUUUGUGUCAUGAAGAAGAAAGUGGGAUAUUUCAUUAACCAAUUGAUAAAUGCCAUAUUAUUUAAUUGGUAUAUUAUUUGAAAUGUGUUGUACUAUUCAUCUUUCAAUCUUGAUUGAUUUAAUUAGACGACUCUUAGGGAAUUUUAAUUCCUCCCAAGUUCUUGUAAGCAAAAAUGUCAAACAAAUAAUAAAUAAAAAAUAAAUGGAGAUUAACAUAAAAAAAAUAUCAAACAAAUAAUAAACAAAAAAUAGAUGGAGAAUAAAAUAAUCACACAACACAAGAAUUUACAUGGGAAAACUCCUAUACUGGAGAAAAAUCACGGCCGCCAAAACGACGAGAGAAAAAUCUACUAUGUGAAAAAUUAUGACAAUCACUCUAGCAUUUUUCACACACCCAAAAUCCCAAUAACACCCAAUAUCUAAAUAGACUUGUUGUUUCUCUCACAGUAGAAAUUGUCUACUUACAGAGAACUAACUGUUAUGUUAUACAAACAAGUGAACCCAACCUCCCAUAUCUAGUGAUUAUCUUUUAUAGGAGAAACAUUCAUUUUCUUAUACUAGUAAUAUUCCUCCUUGAAUAAGUAAAGUUCCAAAGAGAAAAUUACUUAUUUCUUAAAUAAGAAUCCUUCUAAAGAAGAAAAUAUCUUAGGAAAUCCUCAUUGAAAAAUAAGACAUACUUCCCAACAACGAGCUAUACUGUCACUUAAUUAAGGUGAUUACAUGGUUAUAGACAAAUCUUCCAUAAACUUUUAAUUGGAGCAUUUUAUUAUUUUUGGUGAAAUUGAUAGACUUAUAAUUUGGUGAUAUAUUUUGUUUCCAAUUUGGCAAAGUUGAAUAAAAUGAUAUGAAACUUAUAGGAUUCGGUGUAUAGCUUGAUCAGGGUCUAUGACUAGGAGUAAUAACAACUAACAAUCUCUAAUGAUAUUGAAUUAAUAUUCACUAGUUUUGAGAAAUGGUUAUAAAUUAAUCCUUGCAUAGAGAGCUUUCUCGUUUGGGGAAUUAAACCUAGACUCAGAUACUAUUUUAGAGAGACUGCAGAUAAUGGUUUCACUAACAAAAAUUGAUACGUCUAUUUGGACCAAUCAAAAAUAAGUUGAUGAGAGAGGCUAUUUGAACUUCCUAAACCAUUCAUUAAACAUAUUUAUUAAAUAAAUUUACUCUUAAAAUAUCAUAUUUAAAUUUUACUCUACUAACCAACUUAAAUACCUAAUAAAACCUUACUAAUUAAAUGAAACUAUUAUUAAACAGUGUUUUUAUGUUAGAGACUCAUCAAAACUCAUAUAAAUAUAAAAACCUUAAUUAAAUGUUGUUGUUAUAGCUUAAAUAGAAUGUUUUUUUUUUUUAUUGUCACUCGAGCAAAAGUCAUUAUUUAUGCAAAUCUUCCCCAUAGUUUUAUUUUAUGAACAACGAAAUCUAAUAUCAAAUUAACUCCACUCCACAAUUUUCAGUCUCUAAUCUCAGAUUUUAAUUAUCAUCAAACAUACAGAGAUUAAUGGAAGCUUUUAACCAGUAUGAAACUACAAAUAGUAUAACUAACAACGUACAAGAAAUUGUACUAAAAAAAGAAAAAAGAAAAAGUAACAAUAAGUUAUUUCUUUUGUUUUCUUUUUCUUAUAUGAUGCUUGCCAUCGAGGAAUCCGGAAAAUAGAGUUGUUUUAUUAUAUCAUCACUCUUUGUUUAAAUGAAUUUAAAAAAUCUCAAUGGACUUAGCGCAGCUCGACCCAUUCCACCCAUUGACAGUGAGAAAUAUAUAUCUCAAAAUUACAUGAACAAAUAGUUAUCUAUGAGUUUAGUCUGUGUUAACUCUCUAUACGUUUACCAAUAUUUAAUUUUCCCUACUUGUAAAAUGCAUCAACAGAUGCUGAUUCCAGAUUAGUAAGUUGACCCACUUAGUUCAAUCUCAUUUUCAGAAUUUCAACUCAUAUAUUAGUGUAUAUGAUCAAGUCGCAUAUAUAGAUUACGUACAUUCUUGAUUAGUUUUUCAGUAGUCAAUGGCAAUAGAUAUAUAGAUAAUAUAUAUACAUUAUGUUUGGACAUGUCUAUUGCUAAAUUUAUUGUGAUACGGAAGUUGUUAAUUACUUCAUAACACAACAUACAAAUAAUAACCUACUGGAUAGUUUUCGUCGAUGUUUGAAAAGCAGCAAAAUGCAAGGAAGUUCACACAGUUGAAAUAAAAAAAUGAAUUAAACAAUUGACAAUCAGAAAACUCAUGCAGUUCAAUGGCAUCUAAAUAAUGUGGUUUUUUGUAGUAUUUGCUUGCUAUUCAACUUGUACAAUUCAAAGUGGAUGUUAGAUAUCCAUGUAUAAAAGGAUUGCUAGUUAAUUGUUUUCUUGCCACAAUCAAAUUUACAGAGAAACUGAAAAUUAAUUAAAUGGUUGUAUAUACUUUUAGUAAUAAUGUCAAGGCUCCACAGGAAUAAUGCUGCUGUCUGCAGUCUGCUCUUUGCUUGUGGCCUACAUUAUUUUAUCAAUGAGUUUUUUUCUCCUUGGUGGUUGAAGCAAGAACCCAGAAUUUCUCAGCUAUCCAAGGUGAAAAUGUUCAAAAUUGCUCUUAGGGUUAAUUUCACUUUAUCCCUUUAUUAGAUUGACAUAUUUUAAUUUACCCUCUAAAAGUAUGAAAAUUUCAAUCUGCUUGAAAGUCAUUUUCUCUCCGUUAAUUUUAACUUACCAAAAGAUAAAAUUAUAUUUGUACAUUUUCUUUUAGGGUCAACUAAAUAAUAAAAGUCCAACCUCUACUUUUUUACUUUCAUUCAUACCCGAAUGUAGUUUACUCAAGUAGUCAAGUGUAUGUACUUUUAAUUUAUUUAUAUAAAAUAAGCACAAGUUUGAUUCUCCUGACGUGCUCAUAAACUUAGGUGGCGUUUGUUUUUUAACUUAAUGACUUAAAGUGACUUAAUUUAAUUAAUUAAGUUAAUUAGAGGUGUUUAUUUUUAUAACUUAAUGAGACUUUUUAGAUAAGUUUGACUUAAUAAAAUAAGCUAAUUUUUUUGGCUUUUUACUUAAUGGAGAAAUCUGGAUUAAGUCAAUUACUUACUAAUGUCAAAAAUAUCCCUAUUUUAUAAUUUAUUUUUCAUGUCUAUCCCAAAACUCACCCAUAGAUAUUUACCCCACAUAAAAAUAUCCAUGUUUUUUCUUUCUUAUGUUAUAUACGAUAAAAUUUGAAAUUUAUGGUAUUUUAUAUAUUAAAAUUCUAAAAUAAUUAUGUAUUCACUUGAAUAUAGUUUUACUUAUAAAUGUUAAAUAUUGUGGUAUUUAAUAUAUUUUUUAUUUGACAUUCAAAUUUAAUAAGGAUACAAAUGUAAAAGUACAUAUUUUCAGCUUUUUAAGUUGAAAAAAACAAACAACUUAAUACUUAUUUUCUGAGAUUCAGACGAAAAAACAAACAUAUUAUUCAGAUUCAGACAUUCAGACCUAUUUAGAAUUCAGACUAAUUCAGGUCUAUUCAGACUUCAGACAAAAAAACAAACGCCACCUUAGUAAUUUAUAAAAACUUUACAAAAUUUUCUAUGCCGCAAAUACAAAUUAGGAUAAAACUUUAGUUUAUAUCAAAUUCUUACUCUCUGACGGUCGACUUCAUUUUUAUAUUCACAAAAUUUAUAAUAUUUGCAGUGGAGAAAAUGACCAAAUAAAAUAAUUGGAGGUGAAUUUAAUUAUAUAAGUUUUUGCUUUUAAUAUGGAGGAUAAAAUUGUAAAUACAAAACAAAAGGGGUUUUAUAAGAGGAACAGAGGGGUGCCAGUAGCACCAGUCUGCGGAUAUACCAAGGCCGCCGCCCGCCGAUGAGUUUAGAAAACUGGGCUUUAAGCCUGGUAAAAUGCUCGUUAGCCCACCGGUUAGGGCGCUUUUUAUUACAAAUGAAAACAUAAUGUACUUACUCAAUAAAACGUAAAAUUCAGGGACCUAAAUGAUAAACUUCAAGAUAUUUUGAAAAUAGGAACUUGUGAUGCCGGGCGCCUGGUGCUGGGACUGCAGUUUUGAAUAUUUUUCAAAUUUUACAGCUUUCAGGAUUUUUCUUAGCCAGAAAGAGAAGUUGCUAAUUAAUUGAAAAAUGAAAUCACGUGGGACAGGCGGCAAUAAACUCCACUAAAAUGGACGGUGGGGAUAUAAAGUUGAAAGCAGAAACCGUGACGGUGACGGUGACGGUUUGAUUAAUUAUUAGCCUCUGGAAAUGCAGACAGUUGGAUAGAUGAGAGAGAUUCUCGGUUUCUCACGUUUUUUAGUUAAAAAAAGUUAAAGAAAAGGCAGGUACAGAUUCAAUUUCAAGAAACUUUUUAAUGCGCGUCAGGAUCCCACGUGGAAUCGGAUCCGAUCAUUUGGACCCACUGUCAGUAUUUAUCAAUCAACAAUCACUCACUCACACUCACUUAUCACCAGAAUUAUAUAGUGAAACUGAAGCGCAAACACAAACACAAACACAAACAGCCAAUACUGAGUUGAGUACUCGAUUUGAGUUGAGUCGAGUUAUGAAAACAUUAACGAGUUUUGCUUCAAAGAUAAUCGUUGACAAUCGUAAUAACAAUAAUAGGGACAGAGGCUUCUUGUCUUCUAAAGGGUUUCGUAUUAAUAAUAAGCCCAAAAGUUUGUUUUUCCAAUCCAAGAAACUUUUUAAUGCUCGGUUCUUGCAAUACAAGGCCGCGGCUUUGCAGCCCGUUUCUGCUCUCUCCUCCUCUGAUGGCCAGGUGUGUGUUUGUUUUUCGUUUUUUGUUUUUUGUUUUUUUCUCUUCAUUCGUUUCUGGGUUUCUUGAUAUCUUUGUUCAUUUGAUUACUUAUGUUUAUGGUGCUUUUAGAAUAUUUUUGUGUUUAUUUUUUAGGAUUCUGGCAGUGAAAGGUUUCUGUAAUAGGGACCUUCUAAUUUCUUAAGCAAAUUGAUGUGCUUAUUUUAACCAUAUGAUCAGAUGGGAAGGGGGGAGAACAGAGGAAAUUUGAAAGAAGUGAUUGUUAGUAGUACAAAAUGUUCUCUCUUAUAAUGUGAAUUUUGGACUGAUUUUGAAUUGUAUGUAUUCCUGAUGCAGGCAGAAGUGGAGACUGGGGCUCAAACUCUUGCAGCGUGUAAGCUUAUCGUGAUUGUUGGAGAGUUUGAUUUAUUUUUGGCAAUAGUUAGACUGAAUCUUAUGAUUCUGCUCUGCAGACGAAUCAAAAACUGUGCAUGUCAAAUUCCAGUUACAGAAAGAGUGCUUGUUCGGUGAGCAAUUUUUCUUAGUGGGGGAUGAUCCUAUGCUUGGCUUAUGGGAUCCUACAAGUGCAAUACCAUUGGACUGGUCAGAUGGGCAUAUUUGGACUGCUGAGAUCGUAAGUAGGAAUUACCGGUGAAAUGAUAUUCCUAUCUAUACACACAUGGCUGAUUAUUUUUUCUUGACUGAAAAAUUUUGAUUUUUUUAUUUUUUAUUUUAGGAUGUACCUGUGGGCAAAACAAUCCAGUACAAGUUUAUACUGAGAGGAAAAACAGGCCAGAUUGUAUGGCAACCUGGCCCAGAUAGGAGUUUUCAAGCCUGGGAAACUAAGAAUACUAUCACAGUUUUCGAAGACUGGGAACAUGCUGAAGAGCAGAAAAUAAUUGAGGAAGAUCCAACAGUUACCUCAAAAAUGUUAGUUGCAGAAAACUUUACUCAGCCAGAAGAGGCGCCAGUUUCAAAUAUAGUUGCUGUUGAUAGCGACAUGAAUUCAGCAGAGGUACCAGAGAAGCCCAUGUCUAUUGUUGCGGAGAAUAUUAGUUGCCCUAAGGAGGAUCCUAUGUUCACCGCGAUUAACCAGAUGCUUGGUGAGAAGCAAAUUAGUCAACCAGAUGCCGAAUCUGCGGAUAACAAGAAUAGCACGAUAGAACAAGAAAUUCGCGGAAGCAGUGGCAGAGCUGCAGCAGAUGACAAGAAUACGAAGACAGAACAAGAAGUUCUCGGAAGCAGUGGCAGAGCUACAAUGAUCAAGAAUCUAACUGCAGAAAAUAUUGGUUAUCCCAAGGAGGAUACUGUACCAAAUGCAAGUGACAAGAUGCUUGGUGAAAAGCAAAGUAGUCAACCAGAGAAGAAAGAAGAUGUUCUCAAGAAUGAUGGCGGUGCUGCAACAAUCAACAAUCUGGCUGCUGACAACAUUAGUUAUCCCAAGGAGAAAUCUUCGGCUAAUAAGAAUAUGAUGACUGAAGAUGUUCUAGGAAAUAAUGGCAGAGCCACAGCGAACAAGAAUCUGGCAAGCACAGAUGUUGAGGGAAAUCUGAUCACUUGUGAAGGAGAUGCAGUCUUAGUGCCUGGUUUGACUCCGUUACCAAAAUCAGAUGAGGGAGAAUUUGAAGAAGAAGAUCGGAAAAGUAUUUCCGUUGAUGCUUCGGUUGGAAUUAAUGAAGCUAUGAACUACAACUCACCAGAGGUAACUGCUUGAUGAAUGUAAUGGUCAGUUGUUUUCUUUAUUUUUUAAUCCCUUUGUUUCUCUUUCUUUCUUCUACUGCUUUUGCCUGCCAAGCAAUUUCGCUGAUCCCCAGUUUCCUUUACCCAUAUGUUUACCAAUGUUAAUAGAAUCCAUGUGAGUUGUAUCUUGAAAUCAAUGUUUGGUAAAAAGAAUUUCUGAAGACAGUAUGUACCAGCAGGGAAGCUCUUUUGUUUUGUCAAUGUUGAAGUGUUGCAUCUUAAUCAAUCAUUGUUACGCAAAGAUGGAUUUUACCUGCCAAGCAAUUUCGCUGAUCCCCAGUUUCCUUUACCCAUAUGUUUACCAAUGUUAGUAGAAUCCAUGUGAGUUGUAUCUUGAAAUCAAUGUUUGGUAAAAAGAAUUUCUGAAGACAGUAUGUACCAGCAGGGAAGCUCUUUUGUUUU